GAUGAACGCUGGCGGCGUGCCUAAUACAUGCAAGUCGAGCGAACGGACGAGAAGCUUGCUUCUCUGAUGUUAUCGGCGGACGGGUGAGUAACACGUGGAUAACCUACCUAUAAGACUGGGAUAACUUCGGGAAACCGUAGCUAAUACCGGAUGAUAUUUUGAACCGCAUGGUUCAAAAGUGAAAGACGGUCUUGCUGUCACUUAUAGAUUGAUCCGCGCUGCAUUAGCUAGUUGGUAAGGUAACGGCUUACCAAGGCAACGAUGCAUAGCCGACAUGAGAGGGUGAUCGGCCACACUGGAACUGAGACACGGUCCAGACUCCUACGGGAGGCAGCAGUAGGGAAUAUUCCGCAAAGGGCGAAAGCAUGACGGAGCAACGCCGAGUGAGUGAUGAAGGUCUUCGGAUCGUAAAACUCUGUUAUUAGGGAAGAACAUAUGUGUAAGUAACUGUGCACAUCUUGACGGUACCUAAUCAGAAAGCCACGGCUAACUACGUG
rnacentral:rRNA from 1 species